rnacentral:rRNA from 1 species
CAGUCGCCACGGUAAUACAGAGGGUGCGAGCGUUAAUCGGAUUUACUGGGCGUAAAGCGUGCGUAGGCGGCUUCUUAAGUCGGAUGUGAAAUCCCUGAGCUUAACUUAGGAAUUGCAUUCGAUACUGGGAAGCUAGAGUAUGGGAGAGGAUGGUAGAAUUCCAGGUGUAGCGGUGAAAUGCGUAGAGAUCUGGAGGAAUACCGAUGGCGAAGGCAGCCAUCUGGCCUAAUACUGACGCUGAGGUACGAAAGCAUGGGGAGCAAACAGGAUUAGAGACCCCGGUAGUCCCUGUCUCUUAUAC